GAGAGUUUGAUCCUGGCUCAGAAUCAACGCUGGCGGCGUGCUUCAGACAUGCAAGUCGAACGCGAAAGUCCCCUUCGGGGGACGAGUAGAGUGGCGCACGGGUGAGUAACACGUGGGUGACCUGCCCUGAGGUGUGGGAUAACCAGGGGAAACUCUGGCUAAUACCGCAUGAUACCGAGAGGUCAAAGGGGGCUCGCAAGGGCUCUCGCCAUAGGAGGAGUUCGCGGCCUAUCAGCUAGUUGGUGAGGUAACGGCCCACCAAGGCUAAGACGGGUAGCCGCUCGUAGACUGCGUACCA
rnacentral:rRNA from 1 species